AUGGCCAUUAACCACACUUAUGCCCUGCUUCAAUUCUUUCCAUGGGGUCUGAGGUGCGUUAUACUUGCCUACAAGCUGCAACCUGAAGUCAGUAAGAGAAGAAAAAACAGGUUAACACUCAUCUACAGAGAAGAGAAACGGGAGCAGCUCCAGCUCCCCUAUUCCUUUUUCUCUCCUCAGGCGGCAGCUGGCUCCCAGGGGCAUGCAGGGAUGCUACCAGGAUGCUUGGCCGAUCUGUCUCUGAGAAUGUACCAGCCGCACAGAAGAGAAAUUAUAAAGAGGAAUUAUAAAACACCUUGGAGCAGAAGGAGGCAGAAACUUGCAGAGCAAAAGCUUCCUGGACGGCAAAAAGCAUCAUCGUCUCCUCCUCUCACCGAGGUGCUGGGGCAUUUCCUUCAGUUGCACCCGAGCAGCAGUUCAGAAGACACCACACAAGUGCAAGAGCACCUUCAUGAGGAGCAGGAGCUGCUGCAUGUCCUCCCAGCUGCACACACACACCAACAGUACCCAUCAGAUGCAGUGCCUGGGCUAGGAGCCACACCAGGUUCACCUGCACAGCACAGGUCCAUACCCAGCUCAGGACUCCAAUCCUUCUUCUGCAAAACACACACAGAGCUGCUGUUACGCAUCACCUUGAAGGGAAGCUGCGUUUGCCAGCACCCCAGACUCACCUGUGUGCUACAUGGCACUAGCUCCGCAUGCCGUGAGGAGACAGAGGCAUCUCCACCCUCGGCUCCUGGCAUGGCCAGGCCAGGAGAAUGUCAUCCAAAGGAGGCUGGAAGCGGCUGCCCGAUUACCCACAGAAGCCACCGGCAUGUGUUGCUGCAGCCACCCCCGGUGAGGCAGCUCUGGUGCUUGGAAGUCAGGAUGCAGACCCCGUGA
ensembl:lncRNA